GAUGAACGCUGGCGGCGUGCCUAAUACAUGCAAGUCGAGCGAACAGAUAAGGAGCUUGCUCCUUUGACGUUAGCGGCGGACGGGUGAGUAACACGUGGAUAACCUACCUAUAAGACUGGGAUAACUUCGGGAAACCGGAGCUAAUACCGGAUAACAUAUUGAACCGCAUGGUUCAAUAGUGAAAGGCGGCUUUGCUGUCACUUAUAGAUGGAUCCGCGCCGUAUUAGCUAGUUGGUAAGGUAACGGCUUACCAAGGCAACGAUACGUAGCCGACCUGAGAGGGUGAUCGGCCACAGUGAAACUGAGACGCGGCCCAGGCUCCUACGGAGGCAGCAGUAGGGAAUCUGCCGCAAUGGGCGAAAGCCUGACGGAGCAACGCCGCGUGAGUGAUGAAGGUCUUCGGAUCGUAAAACUCUGUUAUCAGGGAAGAACAAAUGUGUAAGUAACUGUGCACAUCUUGACGGUACCUGAUCAGAAAGCCACGGCUAACUACGUG
rnacentral:rRNA from 1 species